ensembl:lncRNA
ACAGUGAGUUUCCGCUUUCCUGUCUGGAAGCUGAUUCCUAAAAGAAAGGCGGCAUGUCCGACAUCCAGGGGACUGCCGUGACCCCCAGAAUGUCAUGAAGACGGCCUUAAAUUUCACUUGGGAACAAAUGGAAGAACCAGCCCACCGAGCAGUUUUCGGGCAACGUGGGACACACACACGGCAGGCUCUGUGAGGACAGGGGGAAGUGUAGACAGGCGGUAGGUGCCACCGUGGGUAAGUUGCCGAGUGCGGGCGAGCCUGUGGUUUGACAGGAGCCCCAAAGGGCGCCGGGCUCCCGCUGCCGGCAGGAAGGAGAGCAGAGGCACUUGUCUUUUCUCUCUUAGCCUAAUUACACCAUCCUGCUCAGGCCCAGGGCCCCGAGGCCCAUGCUCUUAGAGAUCAGCGGACCUGCGCGGAGAAUUGCCACUCUCCUGGCCUUCUACGCUCGAGGGCCUGACACGCCCCAGGUCCCAGACUGGCCUUAUUGAUGGCCCAACGUGCGCGCCUCAGCCCACGGUUUCCCCGGCCCCCGGAGCAGCCCGCGCUUCCUCUGACGUGGCCUCUGUCUUCUGCCCUCCCCGGAGCCCCGGGCCUUUCACGUUUCAAACGCUCGACAGCUGGCCGCGCCGCCGCUUCCGCCCCAAGAAGGGCUCUUGGCACCGCACCACGGCCCGGCCGGCGCCGCGCUCUCUUCUCUCCAGCUGUGACAGAGGCUUUUUCUAGAGACUCGGAGAAGCUGCUGUCCAGCUGCGGCCUCGCCCCGUCCCGGGCUCUGCAUGUUAAUCAGCGGCCGCUCACUGCCCCGUUUGUGGGGCUCCGGCAGCCCCCUCAACAUCAGGACGGGUACACAUAGUCAUUUUCCACGCUGAACUAAGGCACGAGAGACUCGCCAGCCUUGGCCAGGCACCGGCAGGGCCACGCCCCCUCCCCACACUACCUAGCGAGUGCGACAGUCCUUCACGUGGCCGAUCUUCUUCAGUCUAGAAUCCAUCCCCCUGAGGACUGGACCCUGGCAUCCUUUAUGCUUGUGGGCCUUGCAGACAUGAAGGGAUGAAAGGGACAGAAAGGGAACAACAGGAAAUGUAAUGAGCACCCACGCCACGUGGAGAACCACAGUCCGAGCUUCUGUGGCCGGCAUCUGAUGUUACCCCCCCAGCCAUCUAGCAAGGACAGUGUUAAUUUCUCCAUUUUUUUUUUUUUUUUGUGGUAAAUAAUAUUUGGGUUGUAUGGACUGUAGGAAGGGAAAAUGUAUUAAAACUCCUAUUCCUCACUUUUCGCUGCUUGUAUUGGUUUAUUUCACGGGCUUUUUAUUCUCAAAGUUGGUUUCUUCAAGGAAUGAUGGACACCAGCUAAAUAGACUUUCCCUUUUCAUCUAGAAGUACACGCUCCCAGGCUGGAAGCCAUAGUGGGCUUUCUUUCAUUUCAACUGCUGUAACGCUUCGGAAACGUAUGUAUUCACCACCACGACUCAGUGACACAAUUAUCGUUAUCCACGAUUUACAGAGGAGGAGUCAAGACAAAAGAAUUAAAACCAGAGAAGGACACACACUCAUUCUAGACACUGGAGGUCUCAAACUUGUAGUGUUAACUUGGCCUACAGAUACGUUAUACUUGCAGCGUAUGAUAUCUUCUUUUAUAGAUUCAAAUUAAUUAAAAGCACUUAAAAUUAGUUGAUGCUUUAAAAUUCUAGAUGCCCCAGUCUCUCUGACCAAAUAUCAGGUGAUCCAGCAACACCGGAGCCCCACUUACACGUGGCAACAAUCUGCUGAUAACUCAUUAAUCCCUGACCACUAACUAUAUUUUAAGGUGAGCUCUCCUCUGCACGAAACUUACUCUCCAGCCUGUGUUGCUGA